GUGUGGAUAGCGGAGAAAUUCCAAUCGAACCCGGAGAUAGCUGGUUCUCCUCGAAAUAGCUUUAGGGCUAGCCUCAUGAGAGUCUUAUGGAGGUAGAGCACUGAAUUGCCUAGGGGGCGUCAAAGCUUACCAAAGCAUAUCAAACUCCGAAUGCCAUCAAGAUGAUUCAUGGGAGUCAGACCAUACGAGAUAAGUUGGAUGGUCAAAAGGGAAAGAGCCCAGACCUACAGCUAAGGUCCCAAAGUACGUGUUAAGUGGAAAAGGAUGUGGGGAUUCUAAGACAACUAGGACGUUGGCUUAGAAGCAGCCAUUCAUUGAAAGAGUGCGUAAUAGCUCACUAGUCGAGAGUCCCUGCGCCGAAAAUGUCCGGGGCUGAAACACGACACCGAAGCUUAGGAAUGUGUAAACAUUGGUAGAGGAGCAUUGCUGGCGGGAUGAAGCCAUACCGUAAGGAGUGGUGGACUGCCAGGAAGAGAGAAUGCCGGAAUGAGUAGCGAGAUGAAGGUGAGAAUCCUUCAGGCCGAAUAUCUAAGGUUUCCAGAGUAAAGCUGAUCUGCUCUGGGUAAGUCGGGACCUAAGGCGAGGUCGAAAGACGUAGUCGAUGGAUAACAGGUUGAAAUUCCUGUACCGCAUAUAAACAGAACUGUGGGGACACAGACAGGGAAUGGAAUCCGGGAAUGGAUAUCCCGGUGCAAGCGAGGUAGGAGUGCUGUUGGCAAAUCCGCAGCACGAUCUGAAGACGUGAUGCGUACCGAACAUAAGUAGGGAAGUCCAGGCCCCUGGCUGUCAAGAAAAGCCGCUAUUGUUUUAUAUGUGCCCGUACCGCAAACCGACACAGGUGGAUGAGGAGAGAAUCCUAAGGCCGACGGGAGAAGUAUUGUUAAGGAACUCGGCAAAAUGACUCCGUAACUUCGGGAGAAGGAGUGCCAUGAGAGUGGCCGCAGAGAAAUGGCCCAAGCAACUGUUUAGCAAAAACACAGGUCUAUGCAAAACCGCAAGGUGAAGUAUAUGGGCUGACGCCUGCCCGGUGCUGGAAGGUUAAGGGGAGAGGUUAGCGCAAGCGAAGCUUUGAACUUAAGCCCCAGUAAACGGCGGCCGUAACUAUAACGGUCCUAAGGUAGCGAAAUUCCUUGUCGGGUAAGUUCC
rnacentral:rRNA from 1 species